UGUGACCUCAAAUCAGGUAGGACUACCCGCUGAACUUAAGCAUAUCAAUAAGCGGAGGAAAAGAAACUAACAAGGAUUCCCCUAGUAACUGCGAGUGAAGCGGGAAAAGCUCAAAUUUAAAAUCUGGCAGUCUCUUGGCUGUCCGAGUUGUAAUCUAGAGAAGUGUUAUCCGCGCUGGACCGUGUACAAGUCUCCUGGAAUGGAGCAUCAUAGAGGGUGAGAAUCCCGUCUUUGACAUGGACUACCAGGGCUUUGUGAUGCGCUCUCAAAGAGUCGAGUUGUUUGGGAAUGCAGCUCAAAAUGGGUGGUAAAUUCCAUCUAAAGCUAAAUAUUGGCGAGAGACCGAUAGCGAACAAGUACCGUGAGGGAAAGAUGAAAAGAACUUUGGAAAGAGAGUUAAACAGUACGUGAAAUUGCUGAAAGGGAAACGCUUGAAGUCAGUCGCAUCAUCCAGGGAUCAACCUUGCUUUUGCUUGGUGCACUUCCUGGUUUGAUGGGUCAGCAUCAAUUUUGACUAUUGGAAAAAGGUUAAGGGAAUGUGGCAUCUUUGGAUGUGUUAUAGCCCUUGGUCACAUACAAUGGUUGGGAUUGAGGAACUCAGC
rnacentral:rRNA from 1 species